CCACCAGCACUGCUAUAAACCCAGCGAGUUUGGGGCACAGCAGCAUUCCCUGGCCCCAGGGGCAUCUGGACACAGCCAUUGCUGUUGGGUUUGCUGCUGCCUGAACACCAAAGCCUUUGUCAGGGAGCUCUGUGAAGACCCGGGAGAGGCAGCAGCCAUGAAGAUCCUGUUCCUGCUCUUCCCCCUGAUCCUCCUGCUGGUCCAGGGUGCUGCAGGUAACCCCGAUCAAUGCCGCAGACUACGGGGAUUCUGCUUCAGGCGUUCUUGCCCUCGUGGUUCAGCUCCUGUGGGAAGAUGUGCA